UGCGUCACUUGGUCAUCAUAUACCCCACUGUUGAUCUCUCAAAGUACAGGAUCAGCUAACACUUCAGAAGUACCCGAUUCACCCUUGAUUUUUGGUGGCGUUCGGGUUGUGCUUUCUUUUCUUUCUUGUGUUUUGUGUACUGUUGUUUGUCUCUUUGUCUAUUUAUUGUAUUUUGCCAUGGUUUUAGUUUCGACUAAUUAGAUUAAAAAUCCCUUAAAUAUAUAUCGCUCUCGCUCGCAAAGGUAUAUGGCUUUCAAUUCAAUACGUAUCCUACAUAAAGCUGUGGACCAGGACAGGCGAACAGAUGUUAUUCCCUUAUGAGGAUCUGAAUGGGAAUUGCUGAACAGAUGUUAUUCCCUUAUGAGAAUCUGAAUGGGAAUUGCUGAACAGACGUUAUUCCUUAUGAGGAUCUGAAUGGGAAUUUCUGAACAGAUGUUAUUCCCUUAUGAGGAUCUGAAUGGGAAUUGCUGAACAGAUGUUAUUCCCUUAUGAGGAUCUGAAUGGGAAUUGCUGAACAGAUG
rnacentral:lncRNA from 1 species